rnacentral:rRNA from 1 species
GACGAACCGUGCGAACGUUGUUCGGAAUCACUGGGCUUAAAGGGCGCGUAGGCGGCUUGCCAAGUCAGGGGUGAAAUCCAGCAGCUUAACUGUUGAAGUGCCUUUGAUACUGGCGAGCUCGAGGGAGGUAGGGGUAUGCGGAACUUCUGGUGGAGCGGUGAAAUGCGUUGAUAUCAGAAGGAACGCCGGUGGCGAAAGCGGCGUACUGGACCUCUUCUGACGCUGAGGCGCGAAAGCUAGGGGAGCAAACGGG